rnacentral:rRNA from 2 species
UCUGGCUCAGGAUGAACGCUGGCGGCGUGCCUAAUACAUGCAAGUCGAGCGAACGGACGAGAAGCUUGCUUCUCUGAUGUUAGCGGCGGACGGGUGAGUAACACGUGGAUAACCUACCUAUAAGACUGGGAUAACUUCGGGAAACCGGAGCUAAUACCGGAUAAUAUUUUGAACCGCAUGGUUCAAAAGUGAAAGACGGUCUUGCUGUCACUUAUAGAUGGAUCCGCGCUGCAUUAGCUAGUUGGUAAGGUAACGGCUUACCAAGGCAACGAUGCAUAGCCGACCUGAGAGGGUGAUCGGCCACACUGGAACUGAGACACGGUCCAGACUCCUACGGGAGGCAGCAGUAGGGAAUCUUCCGCAAUGGGCGAAAGCCUGACGGAGCAACGCCGCGUGAGUGAUGAAGGUCUUCGGAUCGUAAAACUCUGUUAUUAGGGAAGAACAUAUGUGUAAGUAACUGUGCACAUCUUGACGGUACCUAAUCAGAAAGCCACGGCUAACUACGUGCCAGCAGCCGCGGUAAUACGUAGGUGGCAAGCGUUAUCCGGAAUUAUUGGGCGUAAAGCGCGCGUAGGCGGUUUUUUAAGUCUGAUGUGAAAGCCCACGGCUCAACCGUGGAGGGUCAUUGGAAACUGGAAAACUUGAGUGCAGAAGAGGAAAGUGGAAUUCCAUGUGUAGCGGUGAAAUGCGCAGAGAUAUGGAGGAACACCAGUGGCGAAGGCGACUUUCUGGUCUGUAACUGACGCUGAUGUGCGAAAGCGUGGGGAUCAAACAGGAUUAGAUACCCUGGUAGUCCACGCCGUAAACGAUGAGUGCUAAGUGUUAGGGGGUUUCCGCCCCUUAGUGCUGCAGCUAACGCAUUAAGCACUCCGCCUGGGGAGUACGACCGCAAGGUUGAAACUCAAAGGAAUUGACGGGGACCCGCACAAGCGGUGGAGCAUGUGGUUUAAUUCGAAGCAACGCGAAGAACCUUACCAAAUCUUGACAUCCUUUGACAACUCUAGAGAUAGAGCUUUCCCCUUCGGGGGACAAAGUGACAGGUGGUGCAUGGUUGUCGUCAGCUCGUGUCGUGAGAUGUUGGGUUAAGUCCCGCAACGAGCGCAACCCUUAAGCUUAGUUGCCAUCAUUAAGUUGGGCACUCUAAGUUGACUGCCGGUGACAAACCGGAGGAAGGUGGGGAUGACGUCAAAUCAUCAUGCCCCUUAUGAUUUGGGCUACACACGUGCUACAAUGGACAAUACAAAGGGCAGCGAAACCGCGAGGUCAAGCAAAUCCCAUAAAGUUGUUCUCAGUUCGGAUUGUAGUCUGCAACUCGACUACAUGAAGCUGGAAUCGCUAGUAAUCGUAGAUCAGCAUGCUACGGUGAAUACGUUCCCGGGUCUUGUACACACCGCCCGUCACACCACGAGAGUUUGUAACACCCGAAGCCGGUGGAGUAACCUUUUAGGAGCUAGCCGUCGAAGGUGGGACAAAUGAUUGGGGUGAAGUCGUAACAAG